GGGGGCGUUCCUGGAUUCGACGGGGAUGACAAGGCUCCAGGUGCAUACCGAGGAUGAAAGAACCUCGUAAAUCCCUUUCAACCUAAUAGUUGCAAACGACGACAACUACGCUUUGGCGGCUUAAUUCCCGCUGACGCUCACUUGAAUGUGUCUGUACGUUCAAACUGAGUGGCAUUUUUACAGAACCGCUGUCAAUCGCGUCCGCCGGUUGGCAGUCAAAAUCAAGCGGAAUCGUGUGCGGGUUGCCUGGCCGUUGGCUGCACGCCCAUUAAAUCAAAAACGAGCCUAAGUAUGUAGUACCGAAAGUUGCGUGUUCGCGGACGGGGGUUCAAAUCCCCCCGUCUCC
rnacentral:tmRNA from 1 species